rnacentral:rRNA from 1 species
UACGUAGGGCGCAAGCGUUGUCCGGAAUUAUUGGGCGUAAAGAGCUCGUAGGCGGCCUGUUGCGUCCGCUGUGAAAUCCCGGGGCUCAACCCCGGGCCUGCAGUGGAUACGGGCUGGCUAGAGGCAGGCAGGGGAGAACGGAAUUCCUGGUGUAGCGGUGAAAUGCGCAGAUAUCAGGAGGAACACCGGUGGCGAAGGCGAGUCCCUGGACAACUCCUGACACUAAGGCACGAAAGCUAGGGGAGCAAACAGG